rnacentral:rRNA from 1 species
UGGGGAGUAUUGCACAAUGGGGAAGACCCUGAUGCAGCAACGCCGCGUGAACGAAGAAGGUCUUCGGAUUGUAAAGUUCUGUUCUUGGUGAAGAUAAUGACGGUAGCCAAGGAGAAAGCUCCGGCUAACUACGUGCCAGCAGCCGCGGUAAUACGUAGGGAGCGAGCGUUGUCCGGAUUUACUGGGUGUAAAGGGUGCGCAGGCGGCUCUGCAAGUCAGGCGUGAAAGCUAGGGGCUCAACCCCUAACUGCGCUGAACUGAUGGAGCUUGAGUGAAGUAGAGGCAGGCGGAAUUCCCGGUGUAGCGGUGAAAUGCGUAGAGAUCGGGAGAACACCAGUGGCGAAGCGGCCUGCUGGGCUUUAACUGACGCUCAGGCACGAAAGCAUGGGUAGCAAACAGGAUUAGAUACC